rnacentral:sRNA from 1 species
UCUUUAGAGUUCACAAUUAGCCCAGACCAGAAUGAGAGCCCUGUUUCUGCUUGUCACAUUGUGUGCCCUUUUUUCCUGUGGCAAUCAAUCAGGUGGAUAUGACUGUUAUUCUAGUUAUCACAAAUGUGAAAAUCGAGAUGAGUGCUGUGCGAUGCAUAUCUGCGGAAAGCAUCCAGGCUAUACAAUAAACGUCUGCGGUCCUGCGAGACCUUAACUUCGAAUAGUCCGGUGCAAAAAUGUUGCAUGCCAUCGUUCUUGUAGGCCUACUAACAUUAGAAAGAAAAGAAAUGUAUGAACUCAAAAGCUGUGAAUGUCAAGUCUUCUAUGUCAACAUAAAUUUAUGUAACCACACACUUGAGUUAAUAAAAAAAUGACACUAAAUCUAAC